rnacentral:lncRNA from 1 species
CAUUUGCCCCUGCCUGCUCAGCCAUGGCUUCAGGCUGCGAAAAAUAGGAAUUAUGUGCAGAAAAAGUUUUGAGAUUAAACUAAGUAUUAAUUUUGGUUUCCUUUCCUUGUUUUCAACUACAGUUCAAGACUCAAACACUUUUCUAAAGGUGGACCAGAAAUGUGGUGGUUUUUUCUGAGCGGAAAUUGAUAAUUUUGUGCAAAGAAAAAGAAUGGGAUUUAAAGAUAGUAAUGAACCUGUCUUGAGCUAUCAGGAUAAAAGCCCAAGGCACAUGGGUCUGGAUAAAGUGCCAGACUGGAGUGUGAGUGUUUGGAUGCAGUGGGGUGAAAGGAAAGGGUUUGUUCUUCUGCAGCCUGGAUGGUAGCCACAAACCAGAAGUCUUGCACUUGAAGUUUGCACCUCUGUUGCAAGCUCUACACCUUCCACGUUACAGCACUGUGCCUUCCUUCUCACUCUGCAGCUUCUCCCAAGGUGCCUGCGAGGAGGCCACACAAAUCCUGUGCAGGAGGGUGCUGCAGAACGCUCCAGGUGCAGUCCUGAGCUGGUGGGGCUCCCAUUGGAUUUGCCCCAUCCAAUGUCCUGGAGAAGAAGGUGACAAUGUCUCCAGGACAAUUUUUAGCAUUCAGAGUUGACCACUCUGUAAAAUGAAAGCCCAGCAGCCCAACUGUUCCAGAGCUAGCUGUGGGCAUGGGGAGAGUAUGGAGAAGAAUGGGGUACUGCAGGACGCUUAUCCCAGCAAGGUGUCUCUUCUGCUGUACCAGUCUUUAUACAGGAGUUAAUGUGGGAUUUCUAAGCAGGAAGACUGGAAGAAUCCUUGUAGAUCAGUCAGUGGAGCAGAGUGUUGUGAACCUCAGUGCAAAGACCCACAAGCUGCAAAUCUAUAGCAAAAGGAAGACUGCAAAGAAUCAUGUCAGCAAGCAUGUGGCUUGCACCUGGGUUUGGAAGUGAGACAGCGAUAAUCUUGCUCUUCCCCCAGUGGAUUGGAGCACAAGAGAGUGAAACAACACAGCUAAGGUGGCUCCAGCUUGGGCACCCGAGGUCUUCCAUGCCUUCCACUCCUGGAGAUAUGUAAGUGACAGCGCUGCCUCUGGGGUACUGAGUGACCACUGCCAUUCAGCAAAGCCCCUGUGUCAAGGGUCAGUAAUGCAGCGGAAAUGGGGAGUGGUUUGAAACUAGUUGCUGUUAUUAAAGGAGAUAAUAUUAGCUUAAACAGAUGCUGGUGCUUUCUGAAAGGUGUAUCCUUCUGUUUGCAGACAAAGAAGUCCAAAGUAUCCUAAUGAAGGGGGCUGGUUUGGAAAUUUGUGAUGUCUUUCAGAACAUAACUAUACUCUGGUUUCUCUCAUUUUGUAUAUUUGAAUUGAGUGAAGUUUAAGGAGUUUGAUGAAGAUAGAAUAAAUGAAAUACCAUCAGACUGAAGGAGGCUGGG